rnacentral:rRNA from 1 species
CCUACGGGGGGCAGCAGUGAGGAAUAUUGGUCAAUGGACGAGAGUCUGAACCAGCCAAGUAGCGUGAAGGAUGACUGCCCUAUGGGUUGUAAACUUCUUUUAUAUGGGAAUAAAAUGUUCCACGUGUGGGAUUUUGUAUGUACCAUAUGAAUAAGGAUCGGCUAACUCCGUGCCAGCAGCCGCGGUAAUACGGAGGAUCCGAGCGUUACCCGGAUUUAUUGGGUUUAAAGGGAGCGUAGGUGGAUUGUUAAGUCAGUUGUGAAAGUUUGGGGCUCAACCGUAAAAUUGCAGUUGAAACUGGCAGGCUUGAGUACAGUAGAGGUGGGCAGAAUUCGUGGUGUAGCGGUGAAAUGCUUAGAGAUCACGAAGAACUCCGAUUGCGAAGGCAGCUCACUGGACUGCAACUGACACUGAGGCGCGAAAGUGUGGGUAUCAAACAGGAUUAGAUACCCGAGUAGUC